rnacentral:rRNA from 1 species
UCCGCCUGGGAACUACGAGCAGCAGCUUAAAACCCAAAGGACUUGGCGGUGCUUUAAACCCACCUAGAGGAGCCUGUUCUAGAACCGAUACCCCCCGUUCAACCUCACCUUUCCUUGUUUCACCCGCCUAUAUACCGCCGUCGUCAGCUUACCCUGUGAAGGUCUAAUAGUAAGCAAAACUGGCCAAGCCCAGAACGUCAGGUCGAGGUGUAGCGCAUGGGAGGGGAAGAAAUGGGCUACAUUCGCUGCAACAGCGAAUACGGACGAUGCACUGAAACGUUCAUCUGAAGGAGGAUUUAGCAGUAAGCAGAAAGUAGCGUGUUCCGCUGAAACUGGCCCUAAAGCGCGCACACACCGCCCGUCACUCUCCCCAAGCCCACCAACUUAAUUAACU